AUUUUUUAAUUACUUUUAUAUUUUUCAUGUGUCUUCGCUUGAAAUGAUACAAAAAUAUUUUUGAAAGAUACCAGUAAUAAUCCUUAAAACUAAACUCGGAAUGCAUCAGAGUGUGUCUUUACUGGCUUCAAAACAAAUAAAAAUGGCGCGGCGCGUGUUUUGGUUUGGCUAGCGGAAACGAAGGAAUCUGUUUUAUUUGGCAAAUCCUCAGCUAAAAUGUAAGUUUAAAGCAAUUUUGUUUUCCAUAAACUAUUUUUUAAUUGUUUCAAUUAUUUUUUUCAGUAAUAAACAACCCUACAAUCCUGUGGUGCAGAUUCGAUGGUCCGGAAGAGGAAUUUGCCGGUCGAGACAUUCGCGGCAACAGCAGCACAUAAUCCAGACAUCCGUCGAAAAAAUCCACCACCCUGCCGUAAAAACAACAGAGCGGUUUAUGGGCCGCAUAGAAUGUUCGCAGCAGCUUUGGCCGGAGGUAAUUAUACUUGAUUAUUAUGUUUGAAAGAAACUCAGUAGCGGUACUGGAGUAAGCAUCGGCACCGGAUUUCCGAAUUGAAAGUGGUGGCUGCGAAUGAUUUUCCACGCUGCUGGACAUAUCCAAAGGUUUAUUGCAAUUAAUGUGAGUAGAAUUUUCUAGUAAUUUAACAUUAUGUUUUUUGAACUAUGGUUGUAUUUUGUAUCUGUCAGUCGCAGGAGAUUUCACGUUCGAUCAGUGGCUUAUGCAAGGAGAAAUGCACAUCGUCAUCGAGCAGUACGAUUACUGUCGAUUACUGAAUUCCUGGUGUGAAUGGAACAACUGCUCACGUAAUUUCAUCUUUGCAAAAUCCAAGAAAGGUGAGAAUGCGAAAGCGUUGGACCUGUUUCCCCAAUCGGCUAAGGGAUCCUAAAGGAACCGUUUUUAAUCAACUUCACUAAACCAACAGACGGAACUUUGGUGUCACCGGCUGAGCUGCUCAGUAUUUUUUACAUGAAAGUUAUUCGAACACUACGGAGCCUACGAUUGCAUCAACGUGCUGGCUCAGAUUGCCAUUGGAACUUCGGUUCACAGCAAGCAACAGGCUAUGUUUCAAAGUAUCGAUUUCAGUGCCCACAUGGAGCUGGGAUACUAUGAGGAAGGUACCGUUUGUUGGUGUACAACUGUGAGCAAACUCAGAAGGACUCAUUGAGGCAGCUGGUGUGACGUUUGUCUCGGCAAAAAAGUUUAACAUAAUAAUCGAGCUGCCCUACUAUGAACUAGAAACUGAUUUCCAGAACAUCAUGGAAAUGCACGCUCUAUCCGUGGAAAUAUCCAAAACUAGUCACUAGGACUUUCUGUAUUCGUUUUACAUUCGCGAAAGGCUGCUCUCAUUGCCUACGAAAAAGCCAUGCGUUGUCAGCUGGAGUGCAACUCGCUCGCAUUUUUGAAGAUGCGUUGCGAAGCGCUGCUCAAGUGCAUCAACGCGCUCAAUCAUGCGGCAUCGGAUUACGCCUGGAUUGCGAAGCCAUCGGUUUCCACAUAUGGUGGUGCUGUCAGAUUGGAAGAAUCAGACACCAAAAUCGUGGUUGUUGAUGUGGUAGAUGUUCGGAAGGAGUUGAUAAUAAACCAGACGGUGUUGGAAAUUUUUUAAACAGCAGGACGACUAUAAAGCUGUGAUGAAUGUCGAUACCAACGAGCUGCUGAUGAUUUUAGCUAACGCUAAACUGUAUACCACGGCUUUUCAAGCUGGCCAACAUGUUGGACAAAAACCUCACUAUGAUCUAUGAAAGCCUGGCAGCGUCCUGCGCUAUGUGCGCUUUGCAGGAAACUGCGGACAAUUUUGAUUGGCUGCAUAAAAACGCACUGGAAGAAUCUGUUCUAAGCUCAGUGAGCACCGAAACGGCUUAGAACGUUUUGAAGUUUAAUCUCGAGAAUGAAACGAAGGACGUCGAAGCCUGUUAUCUCGUCGUGAUAAAUAAAAUGAUUGCCAAAAACGGUUUUCCACCUCAAAGGUUGACGGACUAUUGUAUGAACAAAGCGCCCAUCAAACUGUUACAGCUUUACGUAAACUUUGGUUGCCUAGAGGAAGCCUUCGAAAUCUCCGUCAAACUGAUCCAGGCGCAGCUGCAGCAGAAGCUCGAUCACGAAGUUACACUUCAAUCGAUUCUCAUUUCCGAUUACGCUCAUCGAUCGGUUGCAGUUCAAAGAUGCUAAAUUCAAGCAGAUAACAAAUUUACUGAACCAGCUUAUCGACUGCAUUGCUAAAUUUCGUGUCCAUUCCCCAAUGAUAAUUCUGAUAAUUUCGAUAGUUUUCUAAGAAUACUUAUAAACUAAAUAUAACGAUCGCAUUUAUUAAUUGAAUAAAUAAUAUUAUCUUUAAGAGAUUAUAAAAUGAAUCCUCUCCUUUUUUAUUUUUGAUGGAAAAAAGAUAUUUAGAAGAUAAGCU